rnacentral:rRNA from 1 species
GGUGGGUGCUAUACUGCAAGUCGAGCGAACGGACGAGAAGCUUGCUUCUCUGAUGUUAGCGGCGGACGGGUGAGUAACACGUGGAUAACCUACCUAUAAGACUGGGAUAACUUCGGGAAACCGGAGCUAAUACCGGAUAAUAUUUUGAACCGCAUGGUUCAAAAGUGAAAGACGGUCUUGCUGUCACUUAUAGAUGGAUCCGCGCUGCAUUAGCUAGUUGGUAAGGUAACGGCUUACCAAGGCAACGAUGCAUAGCCGACCUGAGAGGGUGAUCGGCCACACUGGAACUGAGACACGGUCCAGACUCCUACGGGAGGCAGCAGUAGGGAAUCUUCCGCAAUGGGCGAAAGCCUGACGGAGCAACGCCGCGUGAGUGAUGAAGGUCUUCGGAUCGUAAAACUCUGUUAUUAGGGAAGAACAUAUGUGUAAGUAACUGUGCACAUCUUGACGGUACCUAAUCAGAAAGCCACGGCUAACUACGUGCCAGCAGCCGCGGUAAUACGUAGGUGGCAAGCGUUAUCCGGAAUUAUUGGGCGUAAAGCGCGCGUAGGCGGUUUUUUAAGUCUGAUGUGAAAGCCCACGGCUCAACCGUGGAGGGUCAUUGGAAACUGGAAAACUUGAGUGCAGAAGAGGAAAGUGGAAUUCCAUGUGUAGCGGUGAAAUGCGCAGAGAUAUGGAGGAACACCAGUGGCGAAGGCGACUUUCUGGUCUGUAACUGACGCUGAUGUGCGAAAGCGUGGGGAUCAAACAGGAUUAGAUACCCUGGUAGUCCACGCCGUAAACGAUGAGUGCUAAGUGUUAGGGGGUUUCCGCCCCUUAGUGCUGCAGCUAACGCAUUAAGCACUCCGCCUGGGGAGUACGACCGCAAGGUUGAAACUCAAAGGAAUUGACGGGGACCC